UACUAGAGUAGCACUCGCAUAUCAAUAAGCGGAGGAAAAGAAACUAACAAGGAUUCCCCUAGUAACGGCGAGUGAAGCGGGAAGAGCUCAAAUUUGAAAUCUUAAAGGGUUUCCCUUUACGAAUUGUAGUUUAAAGAAGUGUUUUCUGUUGAGGUUUUGGUAAAAGUUCUUUGGAAUAGGACAUCAUAGAGGGUGAGAAUCCCGUAUUUGACCUUUACUUUCAACUUUGUGAUACACUUUCAAAGAGUCGGAUUGUUUGGGAAUGCAGUCCAAAAUGGGUGGUAAACUUUCAUCUAAAGCUAAAUAUUGGCGAGAGACCGAUAGCGAACAAGUACCGUGAGGGAAAGAUGAAAAGAACUUUGAAAAGAGAGUUAAACAGUACGUGAAAUUGUCAAAAGGGAAGCGUUUGACACCAGUGUUGUUUUUCUGAAAAUCAAUUAAAGAACUGUUUAUGCUAAGCUGUUUAGACUUUAUCAGCUAACUGUUUAGUUUUGAGCUUUUCUUUAACGCACUUUUCAGUUAACAAGUCAACAUCAAUUUCUUUUGCUGUAAAAAAGCUUGAGGAAGGUGGCUUGAGAUUCGUCUUAAGUGUUUAUAGCCUCUUGCCUAUGCAGUCGGAGAGAUUGAGGUCUGCAGCGUAGAUCCUUCGGGGCUAAAUGCAUUUGUGCUAAGUUAUAGCAUUUUAUAGACAACUUGUUGACUAUGAUUUGUCUUGUAGCUUACUCGCUUAUGUUAUUUUACCUACGCUUAGGAUGUUGAGCGCAUGUCUCUCUCU
rnacentral:rRNA from 1 species